UACGGAGGGUGCAAGCGUUGUUCGGAAUCACUGGGCGUAAAGGGCGUGUAGGCGGUCCGCUAAGUCUGAUGUGAAAGCCCGGGGCUCACCCCCGGAAGGGCAUUGGAAACUGGCGGACUCGAGUCUCGGAGAGGAAGGUGGAAUUCCUGGUGUAGCGGUGAAAUGCGUAGAUAUCAGGAGGAACACCAGUGGCGAAGGCGGCUUCCUGGACACCAACUGACGCUGAGACGCGAAAGCGUGGGGAGCAAACAGG
rnacentral:rRNA from 1 species